rnacentral:tRNA from 1 species
UAGAAAUAAUUAUUAAGUUUAAUCUGCUAAUUUAAACUUGGGAACGAGAUUUCCAUUUCUAU